CUUACUUUCUUCUUCUGAGCACAAAAAAAGUUAAAAAGCACCUCAAAGAGUUUGAUCUCAUACCUGCUGUCUUUGAAUUGGCAGACUGGAUCCAGACUUCCAGCGCUGGAGGUCUGUGGUGAACCACCCACUGCUGGCAGUGGUCUGACCCGGCUGAAGCAGCGGAUGGGGUGGGUGUUGAAUCUAAGGCCCCUGUGGAGAGGACGGGAGUCCAGCUUGAACUUGUCUUGAAAAAGGCGUUUGCUCAUAAGUGGCUCAAUGGGACUGAAGAGGUUGUCGGGGACAUUAAACUUCAUCAGCUGAACAAAUAAACUCACUCACUGGUCCUCUUU